UUGAAAGGGAAACGAUUGAAGUCAGUCGUACCAGCGGGAAAUCAACCUUUCGAAUGGGGGUUUUGGAGUUUUUUGAAGAGUGUCAAAACCUUUGAGAUUUCAAAAUAUUCGCUCUUUUGGUGUACUUUCUCGUGGGUAGGUUAACAUCGAUUUUGAUCAUCAUAAAAAGAUUGGAGGAAUGUAGCUUCGAUCUUGUAUUGAAGUGUUAUAGCCUUUGGUAAAUGUGAUGAUUAGGAUCGAGGAUUGCAACGAAUACCCUUUUGGGCUAUCCGCCUGAUCUCUGAUACGUGGCCUUGGUAUCGAAAGCGUGCUUAUGGUAUUGAGGUAUUACGGUCAAAAGGUUAGAACGGAUUACAUUCGUUAAGGAUGUUGACGUA
rnacentral:rRNA from 1 species